ensembl:lncRNA
UUUUUAAACAUCUCAAAAAAUGUCCCUUGUAUUUAAAAAAUUUAUUUUUACAUUACAAUCCUUUUUACUUCCCACACAUAAAUGAUAGUUAUUUUUAUUUAAUUAAUAAAAAAAAUGAUGAAGUAGAGAAUAUAGAGCAGGUUUUGUCUGAUUAUCACAAUUUUUUUAAUUUUGUUAUUAUAGAUAUAUUAAAAACAAAUAAUAUAAAUAUAACAACAUAUGAACAAUUUUUAAAUUUAAAAUAUAAAAUCUUAUUCAAAUAUUAUAUAAAAUGUGAACAAGAUGCAUUGCUAUUACUUUUAAAAAGUGAAAAUUUUAUAAUUAAAUUAAAAAAAAAAAUAAAUAUUGGCGAACAUGCAACUCACGAGGACAUAUUUGACCCUGAACAUAAGUAUGAGAUUGCCAUAGGAGGACAAAAUAAACAUCAAACUAAAGCACAUUUUGAUAAAGUCAAUGACUAUUUGAAUUGUUAUAUUUCCAAAUUGAAAAUGUCAAUAAUAAAAACUAGAGGUGACAGCAUAAAAUAUAAUCACGACCGUUCGCAUAGUGAGUAUUGUCCUAAUUAUAACAAUGGGAGUGAUAGUAGCAGUAGCAAUAACAAUAACAAUGGCAAACAAAAAGAAAUACCAACUUUAUCAAAAAAAGUGAAAUUUCUUUUACCAAUAUUAAUGCUUAAAAAUAUAGCAAAUAUUAAUAAUUAUAAAAUAUGCAAAGAAAUUGUAGAUUUUAUAGAUAAGUAUGUAUUUUGUGAAAGUAAAAAAGCAUACUAUUCAAAUGUAUAUGAAGGGAACUACACAAAUAAUGAUCACAACGAUGAAGACUAUGUAACGAAUAACAGUGACAACCAUGUAAACAAAUCGAAUUCGCCAAAAGUACCUAUCGAAAAAGAUUCUUUAGAUAAAGAUGAGAUUAUUAGCAUAGUGAUAUACCUUAGUGUAUAUCUUUGUUGUAAAAUAAGUAUGAUAAAAAGAAUACAAAAUAAAAAUUUUGAUAGAAAACAAAAAAAUAAUGAAGAAGAAAAAAUACCAGCAUCUAUACAUUUUUUUUUGCAUAAUUUAAAUAAACAUGAUAUACAAAAUAUAAAUAAACUAUUUUUUUUAAUAUAUUUUAAUACUAAUUUUUAUGAAAUUUAUUACUCUUUUUUUAAUGAUACUAAAGCAUGUAUCCAUUACAACCAGAAUAAUCUUUUUAUUGAAUUGGGAGCUGGUAAAGGGAAUACAACACGAUGGGUCAAUUUUACUAUGAACGAAUUACCAGCAAUAUUGUUUCAGUUCUUUUUAUUUCAAAAAAAUAAUUUUUAUAGGAUAAAAUCUGGUAGACAAUGCAAUCAUGAAAAUCAUAACGGUUGGUAUAAUUCAACGUUAAAUAACAACAUACUACAAAAAAAAAAAGGGUAUAGACAAAAUGAUACACCUAAUGGAACACACAAUAACACACUCAAUAAUAUACCCAUAUCAUUAACAGAAUGCAAAUCAGAAAAUAAAAAAGUAUCUUCGAUAAUACAAGCGGAUGACCAUAACAGAUGCAAAAUUCUAAUUAUUGAAAAGGAAUCACCCAGAAAUAAAAAAGAACAGAAAGAUUUAUUUAUGCAUAUACAAAAAGAAAAUUAUAAAAAUAUGUUCAGGAUGAAAUCAGAUAUAAUUGAUUUUAAUUUAAAUGAGUUUUUAAUGUUUGUUAAAAAUAUAAACAAAAAUGAAAAGUUACAGACUACUAAAAAAAAAAAUCUAUAUUUCUUUUUUAUACCAGAUAUAAUAAUUUUCUAUUAUUACAUAGGCGUGUUUAGACUUAAGAACAGCAUGUCCACGUUAGACUACAUUAAGAAAGUGUUGCAGGUAGGGGGGUCAGUCGUGCAAGAACAACAGCCUGUGGAAAAACAACAUUUUGUGGAAAAACAACAACACUUGCAAGUCCAAGCACAGACACAACGAGAAUCAACUAAAAGUAACAACGAAAGUAUUAGCCCACUAUCAGAAACUUAUUUGAAUAAAAACUUGAUUUUUCUUGAGUACUAUUUUGACAUACAUGUUAAAAAAAUAUACUCAUCUUUAUCAGAGGGAAACCAUAACGUAAUAAGAGUUUACAACAAUAUGAAAAACUUCGUACACCAGUUUGAUUGUCAAAGAGUAAUAUUUAUAACUAAACAUCUGUGUGGCAAUGGAACAGAUUUGGCUUUAAGGUUAAAAAUAAACACACUUUUAUAAAUUUAGCUAACAUGCAAAAAAAAAAAAAAAAAAAAAAAAAAAAUAGCAAUUUACUACCACACUAUGUUUAUUAUUAUUAUUUGCCACAUUCAUUUGUUACGUAUAUUGGUACU